CCAAUAGCGUAUAUUAAAGUUGUUGCAGUUAAAAAGCUCGUAGUUGAAUUUUAGGCCUGGCCGGAUGGUCCGUCUUUGGCGAGUACUGUUCUGUCGUCGGGUCUAUCCUUCUGGUGAGCCGGGAUGCCCUUUAUUGGGUGUGUCGGGGAACCAGGACCAUUACCUUGAAAAAAUUAGAGUGUUUAAAGCGGGCAUUUGCUUGAAUAGAUUAGCAUGGAAUAAUAGAAUAGGACGUUGGUUCUAUUUUGUUGGUUUUAGGACCACCGUAAUGAGUAAUAGGGAUAGUUGGGGGCAUUAGUAUUCAAUUGUCAGAGGUGAAAUUCUUGGAUUUAUUGAAGACUAACUAUUGCGAAAGCAUUUGCCAAGGAUGUUUUCAUUAAUCAAGAACGAAAGUUAGGGGAUCGAAGACGAUCAGAUACCGUCGUAGUCUUAACCAUAAACUAUGCCGACUAGGAAUCGGGCGACGUUAUUUCAUGACUCGCUCGGCGCCUUAUG
rnacentral:rRNA from 1 species